AUUGAACGCUGGCGGCAGGCUUAACACAUGCAAGUCGAGCGGAGUGAUGGUGCUUGCACUAUCACUUAGCGGCGGACGGGUGAGUAAUGCUUAGGAAUCUGCCUAUUAGUGGGGGACAACAUCUCGAAAGGGAUGCUAAUACCGCAUACGUCCUACGGGAGAAAGCAGGGGAUCACUUGUGACCUUGCGCUAAUAGAUGAGCCUAAGUCGGAUUAGCUAGUUGGUGGGGUAAAGGCCUACCAAGGCGGCGAUCUGUAGCGGGUCUGAGAGGAUGAUCCGCCACACUGGGACUGAGACACGGCCCAGACUCCUGCGGGAGGCAGCAGUGGGGAAUAUUGGACAAUGGGGGGAACCCUGAUCCAGCCAUGCCGCGUGUGUGAAGAAGGCCUUAUGGUUGUAAAGCACUUUAAGCGAGGAGGAGGCUCUUUUGGUUAAUACCCAAGAUGAGUGGACGUUACUCGCAGAAUAAGCACCGGCUAACUCUGUGCCAGCCGCCGCGGUAA
rnacentral:rRNA from 1 species